rnacentral:rRNA from 1 species
CGACUCUCGGCAACGGAUAUCUCGGCUCUCGCAUCGAUGAAGAACGUAGCGAACUGCGAUACUUGGUGUGAAUUGCAGAAUCCCGUGAACCAUCGAGUCUUUGAACGCAAGUUGCGCCCGAAKCCAUUUGGWCGAGGGCACGUUUGCCUGGGUGUCACAC